rnacentral:rRNA from 1 species
CCUACGGGGGACAGCAGUAGGGAAUUUUCGUCAAUGGGCGCAAGCCUGAUCGAGCAAUGCCGCGUGAACGAGGAAGGUCUUCGGAUCGUAAAGUUCUGUUGAAGGGGAAGAAGAGCGGAGAGAGGAGAUGAACUCCGAUUGAUAUUACCCUUCGAGGAAGUCGCGGCUAACUAGGUGCCAGCAGCCGUGGUAAAACGUAGGUGGCGAGCGUUAUCCGGAGUGAUGGGGGGUAAGGGGUGCGUAGGGGGCCUGCUAAGUCUGGAGGGAAAGGUAGGGGCUCAACCGGUAUGGGCUUUGGAAACGGGCGGGCUAGAGAGCAGGAGAGGGAGGUGGAACUCCAUGUGUAGCGGUAAAAUGCGUAGAUAUAUGGAAGAACACCAGUGGCGAAGGCGGCCGCCUGGCCUGUUACUGACGCUGAGGCACGAAAGCGUGGGGAGCAAAUAGGAUUAGAUACCCUGGUAGUC